GACGAACGCUGGCGGCGUGCCUAAUACAUGCAAGUAGAACGCACAGUUUAUACCGUAGCUUGCUACACCAUAGACUGUGAGUUGCGAACGGGUGAGUAACGCGUAGGUAACCUGCCUGGUAGCGGGGGAUAACUAUUGGAAACGAUAGCUAAUACCGCAUAAUAUUGAUUAUUGCAUGAUAAUUAAUUGAACGGUGCAAUUGCACCACUACCAGAUGGACUUGCGUUGUAUUAGCUAGUAGGUGAGGUAACGGCUCACCUAGGCGACGAUACAUAGCCGACCUGAGAGGGUGAUCGGCCACACUGGGACUGAGACACGGCCCAGACUCCUACGGGAGGCAGCAGUAGGGAAUCUUCGGCAAUGGACGAAAGUCUGACCGAGCAACGCCGCGUGAGUGAAGAAGGUUUUCGGAUCGUAAAGCUCUGUUGUAAGAGAAGAACGGGUGUGAGAGUGGAAAGUUCACACUGUGACGGUAUCUUACCAGAAAGGGACGGCUAACUACGUG
rnacentral:rRNA from 1 species